rfam:Brachypodium distachyon strain Bd21 chromosome 4, whole genome shotgun sequence.
AUUCUACUUCCUUUGUCCAACAAAAGAUGUCUUAAUUUUGACUAAAUUUGAAUGCAUCUAUACACUAAGUCAUGUCUCUAGAUACAUUCAAAUUUUGACAAACUAGACAUUCUUUGUUGGACGGAGAAAGUAUAAA